CACGCACGCGCGCCCCACGUGCCCCCCGGCUCUGGCGCCGGGACUGCCUGGGGAUCCUAGGGCGGGGACCCUCACACCGCUUGAAGGUUGGGUCGACUUCACGCUAGUUUAAGGAACUAGCUGACGCUGAUAACCAGGUCCCAAGCACUGCUGUACUAUGCUAAAAACAGCCUUGGGAAGAGGACCUUCAGCACUGACCAACAAUCCUGGAUGUGGGCUGACUGACAGUUUCCACCCAGAGAGUGAAGAUCAUGGAGGAGCCAUCUUAAAUUCCGCCCACCACAGGCUCCCAGGAAUCCUAAUGUCACGAUCUCACUGCAGCCAAUGUGACUAACACAGCAGUAAUGAAGUCUGGAGAGCUAAACACACUUCAAAAAGAAUUGUCUCUUGGUAUGAGUGGAAUGGGGUAAAAUACAUGGAAACCCA